rnacentral:tRNA from 1 species
GUUUUAAUAAUUUAAAAAAAAUACUGGUCUUGUAAACCAGAAAUAAGACUAUUCCUUUUAAAACA